GAUGAACGCUGGCUACAGGCUUAACACAUGCAAGUCGAGGGGAAACGACGGGGAAGCUUGCUUCCCCGGGCGUCGACCGGCGCACGGGUGAGUAACGCGUAUCCAACCUGCCUCUGACUGAGGGAUGACCCGUCGAAAGUCGGCCUAAUACCUCAUGGUAUCGUCUGCGGGCAUCCAACGACGAUUAAAGAUUUCAUCGGUCAGGGAUGGGGAUGCGUCUGAUUAGCUUGUUGGCGGGGUAACGGCCCACCAAGGCUACGAUCAGUAGGGGUUCUGAGAGGAAGGUCCCCCACAUUGGAACUGAGACACGGUCCAAACUCCUACGGGAGGCAGCAGUGAGGAAUAUUGGUCAAUGGGCGAGAGCCUGAACCAGCCAAGUAGCGUGCAGGAAGACGGCCCUAUGGGUUGUAAACUGCUUUUAUGCGGGGAUAAAGUGAGGGACGUGUCCCUCAUUGCAGGUACCGCAUGAAUAAGGACCGGCUAAUUCCGCG
rnacentral:rRNA from 1 species